UAAACAACCAAAAUAACGCAGAGGAGAAACAAUCUAAAAGCUAGUAGUUCAAAGAGGCAAAUACAGGGGAAAGGAAGAUGAUGAUGAAGAAGAAGAUCGUGGUUUUAUCUUUGGUUCUGUUGUUUAUAAUCUCGCUGUCGCAUAUGGAAGGGGUCGAGUCGCAGGGGGUCAACUGUUACGAUGCUUGCAACACCGGUUGUGUCGGAUUAAGUACGAGGCUUUAUCAGCGGUGUGACCGCAAGUGCCAAAUAAAAUGCAAUCCAGGCCUUGAAGUUGAAGGACAUCUAAGGUGAAGAAGGAAGAGACUUUUGAGCCAAGCAUGUGGUCAAUGCAGAAUAACGAAGGGGGAAAACCCUACUGUGACCCUCUAGACUUUGAAUGCAGUUUUGAUUAUUGGAUGUUAAUUAAAGUUUAUAAUCUUUGAAGGAAUGAUAUAUAUGGGUUCAAAAUA